AACGAACGCUGGCGGCAGGCUUAACACAUGCAAGUCGAACGGGUGUAGCAAUACAUCAGUGGCAGACGGGUGAGUAACACGUGGGAACCUUCCUAGGGGUACGGAACAACUCAGGGAAACUUGAGCUAAUACCGUAUACGUCCGUGAGGAGAAAGAUUUAUCGCCCUUAGACGGGCCCGCGUCGGAUUAGCUAGUUGGUGGGUAACGGCUUACCAAGGCGACGAUCCGUAGCUGAUCUUAGAGGAUGAUCAGCCACACUGGGACUGAGACACGGCCCAGACUCCUACGGGAGGCAGCAGUGGGGAAUCUUGGACAAUGGGCGCAAGCCUGAUCCAGCCAUGCCGCGUGAGUGAAGAAGGUCUUCGGAUUGUAAAGCUCUUUUGCCAGGGACGAUAAUGACGGUACCUGGAGAAUAAGCCCCGGCAAACUUCGUG
rnacentral:rRNA from 1 species